UUCAUUUCCUUGGCCAUCAUUUGCGUCCUUUUGCACCUUAUAGGUCUGGAGUGGAACGAUGUCAGAGAGGAAAUCGAAAAGCUCUUCAUCCCUUAUCGCCCUAGCAAAGUCAUAACGCUUCAGAGUUCGACAUUUGCCUUUAUCAGCUUGCAUCCACGCACGUAAGGUGAGGUCCAUAAUAAGCAUCUCAAUUGCCUUCGAUAACAGAACCGCAGAAGUUGCGCUAACCAUCUUUACUUGAUCAUUUGACUUCAUAGCCCGUCUGAUCCUUGAAAUGGGCAUCUCAGGUUUUCUCUUUGGAUCUGCACGUAGAAUUUCUUCCUUUUGUUGAUUCCAGAAACAGGAGAGAUUUUCUUUUAGCAAUUGCAUAAACUUUGGAUCCCUUUCAUCUUCAUCCUGCUGAAUUUUGUUGUUACUUGGC
rnacentral:misc_RNA from 1 species